UACGGAGGGUGCAAGCGUUGUCCGGAUUUAUUGGGUUUAAAGGGUGCGUAGGCGGCCCUCUAAGUCAGUGGUGAAAUACUGCAGCUUAACUGUAGCAUUGCCAUUGAUACUGGAGGGCUUGAGUACAGAUGAGGUAGGCGGAAUUUAUGGUGUAGCGGUGAAAUGCAUAGAUACCAUAAAGAACACCUAUUGCGAAGGCAGCUUACUAAGCUGUAACUGACGCUGAGGCACGAAAGCGUGGGGAGCAAACAGG
rnacentral:rRNA from 1 species